rnacentral:rRNA from 1 species
GACGAACGCUGGCGGCGUGCUUAACACAUGCAAGUCGAACGGAAAGGCCCUGCUUUUGUGGGGUGCUCGAGUGGCGAACGGGUGAGUAACACGUGAGUAACCUGCCCUUGACUUUGGGAUAACUUGAGGAAACGGGGGAUAAUACCGGAUAGGAGCUCCUGCUGCAUGGUGGGGGUUGGAAAGUUUCGGCGGUUGGGGAUGGACUCGCGGCUUAUCAGCGUGUUGGUGGGGUAGUGGCUCCCCAAGGCUAUGACGGGUAGCCGGCCUGAGAGGGUGACCGGCCACACUGGGACUGAGAUACGGCCCAGACUCCUACGGGAGGCAGCAGUGGGGAAUAUUGCACAAUGGGCGGAAGCCUGAUGCAGCAACGCCGCGUGAGGGAUGACGGCCUUCGGGUUGUAAACCGCUUUCAGCAGUGAAGAAGCGAAAGUGACGGUACCUGCAGAAGAAGCACCGGCUAACUACGUG